UGUUUAAGCAGACGUGUGUCAGAGUUGGUUCGAUCACAGUAUUAUUUCAAAUUUCUUGGCUUGGUAAGGAAGUAUUGUUUACUGAAAAUAUUUGCGAAUCAUAGCGAAAUAUGUCCCAAUUUUGGACGUGGAAACUAGAAAUCAACGCAAGUCAUUCGCUGAGAAAUAUUUAAACUUGCAAGAUGCAAAUUAUUGGAGUGCUGCUGUGUUCUCAGACGAACAACGUUUUGUCUUUAAUGGUAGUGGUUAAAUUUCACUAUAUGCUGGUUCGCAUCAUGUUAACAUACCCAACAGUGUAUAAGUAUGGGGAUGUCUAUCGAGCAAAUGCAAGAGUGUAUUGAAGGAACUUGAUGGGCGUUUGGAUUCCGGACAGUACAUUGAAGUACUUCAUGAGAAUGUCGUUCCCUUCUGCCAGGACAGCCCUCUAAUUCAUGAUCACUAUCCAGUUCACACCGCACAGGCAGUCAGGAAGUUUUUGCAGUCCGAUGGUGUAGCUGUAAUAGAAGAUUGGCCAAAAAAAUCUGGUGAUAUUAUGCCUUUGGAAACUGUUUGGUUUCAUCUAAUUGACAAGCUAAAUGAAUUUAACAUCUUGGCAUUCGACAAGGCUGGUUUAUGGUCAGAAUUGUCUCAAUUGUGGUAAAGUCUAGAUGUUGAUGGCUACUUCACCCAACUUAUUUCUGAUAUGCCCGAGCGUUUGAAAAAUAUCAUUCACAAAGAUGGAGCUUGGACUCGAUAGUUAUGUAAUAAAAACUAAAUCCGUGAUUCCUUGUGAAGACUGGCCACAAUAAAUAUUUUUCAACAUG